AGCUCUGCGCAGUGGCAGUAUCGUAGCCAAUGAGGUUUAUCCAAGGUGCGAUUAUUGCUAAUUGAAAAACCACAUUUAUACAAAAACCUGCAAAUGAUUGCACUUAACAGCUUUGUUCAUUAUAGUGCCAUGCUAGCUCUAUGCAU
ensembl:snRNA U4 U4 spliceosomal RNA